AGCGAACGCUGGCGGCAGGCUUAACACAUGCAAGUCGAGCGGUAAGGCCCUUCGGGGUACACGAGUGGCGAACGGGUGAGUAACACGUGGGUGAUCUGCCCUGCACUUCGGGAUAAGCCUGGGAAACUGGGUCUAAUACCGGAUAGGACCACUGCCUGCAUGGGUGGUGGUGGAAAGCUUUUGCGGUGUGGGAUGGGCCCGCGGCCUAUCAGCUUGUUGGUGGGGUGAUGGCCUACCAAGGCGACGACGGGUAGCCGGCCUGAGAGGGUGACCGGCCACACUGGGACUGAGAUACGGCCCAGACUCCUACGGGAGGCAGCAGUGGGGAAUAUUGCACAAUGGGCGCAAGCCUGAUGCAGCGACGCCGCGUGAGGGAUGACGGCCUUCGGGUUGUAAACCUCUUUCAGCACCGACGAAGCGCAAGUGACGGUAGGUGCAGAAGAAGGACCGGCCAACUACGUGCCAGCCGCCGCCGUAA
rnacentral:rRNA from 1 species